UCGAUUCGUGGAAUCACUAUUGGGCUCCUUUUUCAUUUCUUCUGCUGCAUUUAAGGCCAAAUACUUUCUUUGUGCUAGUACCAAAUCGCGUAAAAGCUGAGGACUUGGUUUUUUGGCAUGCAUAAAAUUACAAAGGCCACCCCGCUGACAUUCCGAAGUUUCGUGUUGCCGGCAACAUGCCUCGCGAAAAUCAGUUACAGGAGAUAACUCGGCGUAGACUGGUCUUUGGGAAUACCAUCGGGAAUUUAAAUCAUCAAUAGCAUUUUGGGCAGACUCUUCAUACUUGAAUCUUACAUAAACAUUUCCGACUAAGUGAUCUCCAACAUUGUCACAGACGACUAAUUGUUCAACUUCACCGUAUUUUGAAAACUCACAAAACAUGUCCUCGUAGAAUGCAUCAAAUUGUUCUGCAAGUUCACGCUGCGUGAACUUUUUGCCAUUUGGUUCAUGAAUUGGGUUUUUAUACAUGUUGGGACAUAAGAUCGUUUGACUAAAAUUUGGUUUGACAUGUUUACGAGAGCAGCGUUC